rnacentral:rRNA from 1 species
AAAUUGAAGAGUUUGAUCAUGGCUCAGAUUGAACGCUGGCGGCAGGCCUAACACAUGCAAGUCGAACGGUAACAGGAAGCAGCUUGCUGCUUUGCUGACGAGUGGCGGACGGGUGAGUAAUGUCUGGGAAACUGCCUGAUGGAGGGGGAUAACUACUGGAAACGGUAGCUAAUACCGCAUAACGUCGCAAGACCAAAGAGGGGGACCUUCGGGCCUCUUGCCAUCGGAUGUGCCCAGAUGGGAUUAGCUAGUAGGUGGGG